UGGGACUAUAAAACCUGAGAAGAGGUUCCAUAAUGUAUAAAAUGAUGAGGCAACGAUGGCAGCAAUAUGUUGAUUUGGUGUGGCAGCCACAGCCAUCAUGCCAUAAAAGGUGAAGUAUAAUAAGCUGAAGAACAUGAAGAACAGAUACCAGAAGAACUUAGCAGCUGUCCAUUCAAAUCCAAUCAUUGCAUAAACUAUAACACCAUACACCACAGCUUGUGAAAAGACAUAAGGUAUCUCAACUAAAGCCUGAAAGAAGAGAUGAAAUUUGAUUAAUAAAACCCAUAAAGUAUUAGAGAUAUACGAAGUCUAUAGCAUAAGAAAACUAAUUACCUGUGCAAAGGCAUAUGGCAUGGCUGAAUACAUUCCUGCAGCUCUUUCUCUGUAAAAGACUGUCCGUUCAACUGCCACGACUGGUUGCACCGAUUGGCCAUUCUGAAACCCAAGGAAGAGAACAGCGGCAUACAUAGAGCCCAUUGCAUUAGAUAUAUCUUGUUGUCUUGUCCUGCAUUUGCCAAUGUGAAGUAAAAAAUUAAAGUUGAUAUGGAGAAGCAUACUGAGUUCUCAAAAUUCUGAACUGACUUCAAACUACCUUUUGGUGCCGAGAUCCCAGAACAUUGUCCCAAACAUCAAGGCUACGAAAGUUGUGAAGAAAAAUCUCACUGCCGUGUAUGGUGGAUUUCGCCAGUAUGACAAACGUUGUUUCCAUAAGCAUGCCAUACACUGGGUGAAGAAGGACUGGGAGUAUUGAGUAGGGAAAUAGAGGUCCUUAGAACCAGGGGUAGGUUGGCUCAAUUCUUUAAUUAAAUCUUUGUUUCUCCUGAAACAUAUGCCACAUCUUAGAAAAGGCUUCAACAACAAAUUCAAGCUUGCAUGAUGAACUUUGAGAUGGCUGUAUAUGACAUUUCAAUAUCAUAAAGCAUUCAGAUAUCCUAUAGUUGAAUCACCUGUAUAGGUCUGACUUUUCGUAUAUUUCGGUGAAAUCCACCCCCAAAAUUAAUUCUUGUGCAGAAGCGGUAACUUCCAACAUCCAAGUUGCAGGGUUAUAACCAUCUUUGAUUUUACUUACUCCUUCAAUUCCCUUAAUGAAAGCAAGUCACAUGUAUUAGUAAGCACUUUAUAUGAAUUAACUUAAACUAAAGUAUUUGCUGCUUAUAGCUUUUAAUUUAUCAUGGAAGUUUACCUCAAAAUACUUUAUCAGAUGGGAAGAAUGUCUACCCAGUGGUCCCAUAUAUAUCUCUUGCCCUCCACGCUUCAACAGGAGCAACUGCAAACCCAUUUUGAAUAUGUCAGUACUUAUAUGCAGGAGAGCAUAGAAGAGAAUAAAUCCUUUCUAUCCAUUAACAUUUCCAACCUCAUCAAAGGCAUCAAAGAUGUCAAUACUUGGCUGAUGGAUGGUGCACACAACUGUUCUUCCUGUGUCCACUGUGUUCCUGACUGUUCUCAUAACAAUUGCAGCAGCUCUUGCAUCUAGCCCUGAAGUUGGCUCAUCCAUGAAUAUUAUUGAGGGAUUUGCCACAAGCUCAACUGCAAUGGUCAGCCUCUUGCGCUGCUCGGUUGAGAGACCAUUUACACCUGGCAACCCAACUAGUGCACCCCUCAAUGGGGUCAGUUCCACGAGCUCCAUGACUUCCUCAAUGAACAUCUAUAACCAUUACCAAAGAUUAGAAAUUGUUUGAACCAGCACUUUUCCUCAGAGUAUAGGUCAAGCCAAACUUGAACCUGACCAUAGCUCAACCAAGUUUGAAAAAUCAAUUCUAGGGCUUUGCUUGUUCAGAGCACUAAAUUCAAUCAGAAAAAUGUGGAAACAACACAGAAAACUCUCACCUUCCUUGUUUCAGCAUCCACAUUAGGAGGCAAUCGCAGCCAAGCUGAGUAGAGCAAGGACUCAUGGACAGUAACAUGAGGAGAGUGGAUGUCAUUCUGCUCACAGUAUCCAGAAAUGCGAGCAAAAGUCUCUUGCUUCUUUGGGUAGCCAGAAAUGCUGAUGCUACCCUCAAUAUAUCCACCAGUUUUCCGACCAGCCAAUACAUCCAUGAGAGUGGUUUUACCAGCACCACUAACACCCAUCAAAGCUGUAAGAACACCAGGCCUGAAAGCACCACUCACCCCCUUCAGAAGCUCCAAUCUGUCUUCAGGGACACCUUGACUUUUCAUUUCCUGCAAAUUCAAUUCAAACAACUUACUUCUCAUUUUUGGUUUAUUAGUGCUGCUAAAACAUGUACAUUAUUUGCAAAAAUAUGAAGUUACCUCUGGCAUGUCAACUGAGUAUCUAAUAUCAUCAAAGGUGAUAGAAAGUGGUUGGAAUGGAAGAACCAUUCCUUUUUUGUUGUUACGUCUCGCCUCAGCAAUGGCUUCUGCCCUCACAGAAGAGGAUACGGAUGAGAUACUUCGCCCAAUUUCCUCUCCACUCUCUGCAUGUUAAGUUUAAAUUUAGAGAGCAAUAUAGAACAUGGGUUAAAUGACAAGAACACAGGCACACAAAGGCAUGCAAGCACCAUGUAUGAGUUUCAUCACCUGUGGAUGCGGUUUGGUCAAUCGAGCCUUUUCUAUGGGACGAUAACUCAAUCUUUCCUUCAGUUUUGGCAUUGUCGGACUCUACUGUUAUAACAGCUUGAGGCUUCUCAAAUGCUGCACAAUUUGCAAAAAUCUUAAUACACUAACCUCCAAUCAUUUAGGAGUUUCAAUGCAGAGACGGUAAAGAUACUCACGAUUUAGGUAAGUCAGAGCCACAGUGUAACAGAAGUUGAAGACAAAUAUGAAUCCAAGCAGUGCCCCAGCUCCUAUCCAGUACCAGUGUGCCUCCGUGAAGAACCCACGAGCCUUCAAUACUGCUACUCCAAGGGAUUCUGUUGAAUUGGUAGAAGCAUUCUGAAAAAUGGAAAUACAUUCAAUCAUCAGUGACUGACACACAUAAAUAAACACAAAUACUCACAUGCAAAAUUCAAGAACUUACUUUGCUCCAACUCUUCCCAAGGAAUUCAUUUACCAGUAUGGCGUUCUGUGCAUACAUCAUAGGGGAAGACCAGUAACCCCAAAUCCACCAUUUCUUGACAUUUUCUGCAGCAUUGACCAAAUACAAAAAGAAAACAAAAAUCCAUUAUUAGUGUUUAUCAACAAGAAGGUUCUACAUUUCCUGAAAAUUUCUUUCCUCCUUAUACCUCGUGACAGGACAAUACCACCCAAUGCAAAGGGCAGAACUAAUGCAAAUGACCCAAAUGUGUUUGCAACAAUCAUGCUUCUACAAGCUGCUGCUAUAAAUCGAAAUAAUGAAGAUGCCGUCUGAUUAAGAAGCAAGAGGAGUAGAUACUGUCUAAACAAUCUGCAAUAAGAAGAUUUGUUUAUUGAGCAUAGAUCAUUUUGGAACAGAGAAAACAUGUGAAACAAAUCUGGACAAGUUUCUGCAACUUCACAAGUUUUUAACUUUUACCUUCCCACAUUUGGAUCAAAUCCAAUGACAUAAUAAGUGAUGAAUACCCAAACACCAACUUCAACAAAUGUGAUGGGGAUCUUGAGGAACCAUGAGGGAAGAGCAUAUGCCCAUGCAGGAUAGAAGAGCAGGCCUCUUUGCUUGUAAAAGACAGGAAGUUUUAGAAUGGUCAUGGCAAGUUCUGACAUUCCAUUAAACAUGACCAUCAUGACAGUGAAGAACAAAGCACCAGUGUAAAUGUUUCCAUCUUCUGUUGUGUUUUUGUGCAUCUCAGUUCUUAGGAAGAUUGUCAUUGCAAUCAUUGCGACUAUUGUGAGCUAAAAGCAGAAAUAAAAAUAAUAAAUUACGAUCAAAUGUACAAAAUUAAAAGCCAUUGUUAUAAGUAACAACAAUAAUAAUACUCACUUGGGUGAGCUUGAAAAUAUAGACAAAUGAAUUCCUCUUCAUCAGCAAGUACUCUCUUGAGAUGCAAGCAUCCAACAGUUCCUUCUUUCUAACACCAUAUUUUUCAGUUUUCAAAGCAGCCGGGUGGCUUUUGGUCUUGUCGAAUGGAGUUGCAAGCUCAUCUCCUAGUUUCCGUCCAAAGUGAAAUGACUGGAAUGCCUCAGCAAAUUCCUUGGCUGUGACAAAACUGUAAGGCUCAUCUUUAUGUGCCCAAUACUGCUCCUGAUCUUUCCUAGAUGUUACCUGCAAUCAAUUUUAAAAUUCGUGUUCUAGCUUGGUUUUUUCUAAAGAAGGGAAAAAAUGAGAAGAUGCCAAAAGGUACAAAGCUAUUAGCACUCACUUCUUGUAGGAAGUCUGCCACACCCUUCCUUUCAGGACAUCUGAACCCCAUGGAUUCAAAAAAGUUAAGAACGUCUUCACGAGGACCCUGAUAAAUGAUCCGGCUAUCAGAGAGAAGAAUGAUGUCAUCAAAAAGAUCGUAAGUCUCAGGUGCUGGCUGGAGGAGAGAGAUGAGAGCAGUCCCAUUGAGAAUGUGGACGGUUUGCCUGAGAGAAUUUACGAUUUGAUAAGUUGUUGAGCUAUCCAAGCCAGUAGAGAUCUCAUCCAUGAACAGUGCCUUUGAUGGUCCAACCAGCAUCUCACCUAUCAUUCAUAUAUUUUCAAAUAAUUGAACUAUAUUAGAUUAAUGAACAAAAAAUAUCUUCUUCUUUUUCUUUUUCCUUUUUCAUGUUAGAACACAAAUUAUCCUACCAGUUGUGACACGCUUCCUUUGUCCUCCAGAGAUACCCCUCACCAUUUCAUCUCCUACCAUGGUGUCUGCACAGAUUUCUAGUCCCAGAAUCUGUAAAUUUAAGUUUAAAUGAAAAUAAACAAAUUAUGAGUUAGAACUGGAUUUUCUCAGAAAUCUGUAUUCCAUCAUUGAAAGUUUUAUGGUUAUGAUACCUUUAGUGUAUAAUCAGUGAUCACAUUCUCCUUCUGGCCUUCAGCUGCCGCUGCCUGAAAUGUUAGAAACCAAUAAUGAAAAUCUCAACAACCAUUAAAGUUAGUUUGGUACAUGAAGAUAUUCCAUGGAUAAGAUCGACAGAACAUCAAGAAAACAAAGUCAAUUUGCAUAUCUAUGUGAGAGAUCAAAAUUUUCAUUCUAGAGAAGACAAGUGUCCAUGUUCUCCACGAAAAACAAAUAGCUGAUCAAUUUCAUUAAGUAGCUUCUGUCUCACCUUCAUGAAGACAUCGAUAUCAGGAUCGGGCUUUAUAUUUGCUGCUUUUUCUCUUCUUGAGAGCUCUACUAACAUGUCUGCAGAUAGCCAAAAUAAGAGUCAAUCUCCUGGCCUAGGCAAAUGUCAUACAACUACAUCCACAACCUUCAAAAACAAAGAAAAUAAAAGUGAAGGCAAUGGUUUAGACUAACCAUAUCGAUCUCCAACACCCUGGCAUCUUGCAGAGAAGGCCAAGGUUUCCCGUACAGUCAUUUCUCCUAUAUGGGUAUCAAGUUGGCUUAUGUAGGCGGCAGUUCUCUGGGGUACAAACUCAUUCAUGCCAUGACCGUUGUAUGUCACUCUUCCCGUAACCUAAACAAGAAAUUUCAGUUUUCAAAUUGGAUAAGAGAUUAAAGAGCUAAAAAUUGAAUACGCAUCAAAGAAGAAAAGCAAUAAGAGUUUUUUUUUUUUUUUUUUUUUUUUGUCCGUUCAACCUUUAGACUGGAAUCAAGCUUUCCGGACAGAGCCAAUAAGAGAGUGGUCUUUCCAGAACUUGGAGGACCCAAAAGCAACGUCAUUCUGCAGAAAAAAAAUAUGCACAAAAAAUUGAGUAUUGAUCUUCAGGGCAUUCUAAAUUUGAGAAAGGAAAAAAUCAUUUGAUUUAUCAAUCAAUUUUUUACUAGAAAUAAAUUCAAAUUCUCACCUUCCGGGUUUGAUGAUUCCGCUAACAUCAUGAAGAAUGGUGAAUUUCUUCUUUCUACUUGGAAGAAUCCGAAGAGUGUUCAAGAUAUCCUUUAAAACAGAAAGAAAAAUUAUAAUCUAAAAACAAACUUUCCCAAGAGAGUACUUAUUGAUUAGCUAAUGAUCUGCAUUUGCAUUUUAGUUACCUCAAUUUGAUUAAAAACAGAAUUAAUGAAUGAAGGCAAAGCUCUGCUUCCUACAUGAGCUUCUGCAUCAAUGGUAAGAUGCUCAAAUCUAACUUCAAUUUCGGGAAGAUCAAUCCCAACUCUGAAAAAUGGAAGAGCCACGAAAACUCGUUAUUAAAAAGUCGAAGGAAGAUGUUGUUUGGUUGCAAAGAAAAUAUAGGAAACACUAUCAGGCAUACUUAAGAUGAAUUCUUUCUUUUCCACUGUUUUCAAUGUUCAAAAAGAGGCGAGGAGCGCAAGAAAAGAAGAGAAAUCGCACCUAUCCAUACGAUUCUUGAGCUUCAACAAGAACUUCUCAUUGUCCUCUUCAGCGAUUUUCACCAACCGCUCGACUAAAUUCUUCCUUUCCUGAGGCCCAAGGUUGUGUAUAUCAACUUCACUGGCCUCACCCUCUGAUCCGAUCAGCAAACCUUUCCUCAGCCGAUUGUAGGUGGGAAGUUUCUCGAGGGCAGCCCAUUUCAAAGCUUCCUCAUCAUCCUCAUCCCUUGAAGAACGGGAGAAAACCUCCGCACCAGAGUUCCUCCAUAUGGAAGAACUGUUCUUCCUGAAACUACCACUGGCUCUACGACCACUGGCUGUAUAAAUUUCAGCUGUUUCCAUUGCAACACGAAACGAGGAACCCCCCUGCAAAACUAACCAGAACCCACCAAAACCCAGAAAUUUUUCCAAAAAAUCAGGAGAAGCCCAAGUUUUGAUCUCUGGAGCUGAAAAAAACUCAGUCAGAGAUGGGUGUCCUCCCCUCUUUUCUCUAUGCACUUUGUAGUGCUAAAACCUUGUUCUAUGUUAGAAAACCAUGAGGAAUGGAAGGUUUAUAUACUGAUUCGAAGGACAGAAUCAGAGGCGGCCUAAAUGUUUCAAAUUCUUACUUUAACAUUUUCACAAUUCUCCGCUAUCUUGUUUGUCAAGUAAAUGGAAAAGUGAAUUAUUAAAUGUUGUCCUAACCGCCAAACUAACUAACUUUCCCGGGCGAAACUAACGAACCCUCCUGAAUUCCAAAUGUAAAACAUUUAUGGCAUCUUGUCUAUACUCUUGUUUAAUGAUAUGAUACUUUGGGUUUAGUUUGCCUAAAUUAAUAAUGUAAGUUAAUUUUUAACAUUUCAUUUAUAGUCUAAUUUGAUGUUGAUAUAUUGAAUUUGGAUUACUUCUUUUAAUCUCGGAAUUUAUUAGGAUUAGAUUGGAGUUGAGUUAAGAGGCCUCGAGUUGAUUUAAAUUAUAUUCAAGGAAAGAGUUAAGUAAACUUUAAUAAGUGAACGAUGAAAUCUUUUAUUUCUAAAUUAUAUGUAAUAUGAUAAAAUAUAUGUCUCAUUAUUACGAGUUAAUAAGUUACACGAUGAAUUCAUCAACUAAUUUUUAUGUAAAAGUAGAAUAUCUUAUACAAAAUGUAUGGAUUUACCUUAUAUCUUUAAAAUUUAUUUUUAAAAAUUCUCGUGACAUCAUUACAUAUGUAAGCUUGAUUAAUUUUAAUGAAUAGUAAAUUUAUCAAAAAUUAAAUAAAUGUAUAGUCAAUUCUAAGUUAGUCAUUAUUUUAUUAAAGCUAAAAAUAUUUUAAAAUUUUCAAAAUCAAGGCUUCAAUAACUCACAACUUUAAAUAAAUAUAUAUAUAUUUAAUAAAAUAUCAAUUACAAAGUUAUAAAAAAGUUCAUUUUAUUAUGUUUUUAUUAUAUAUAGUAGAAUUUAAAUAAAAUUAAUUACAAAUUAAAAAAUAAUAAUUUUUUAUUAAAGCUUUUUUGGGGGGCUAAUUUUCUUUACUCUUUUUUUUUUUUUUAAUUCCUAAGAUGUGGGAUGAGAAGGACCCAAAAUUAAUUAGAUCAUUAUCCAAAUUAUUUUUAUUUUUAAAGAAUAAAAACAUUAUAAAUGGUUAGAAUCCAACCUUCUAGAAAGAAAUGAAAGACUAGCAAAUAAAUCAUACUAAAUCCAACAACUAAUUAAAGUCUCUUCUCAAUUUAUUUUUGGAUUUAUUUUCAUUUAAAAAUAGUAACCACAUAAAACAUAGGCCAAAUAUAUUCUAAAAAUAGGUUGAUUUCUCACACGUGUAGAAGAAAGGGUACGGGUGGCCAUGAUCAUGGGAUAGACAUGAUUGACUUUCAAAAGCUUAAAAAGAAAAUGACUUUCAAAAGCUGCUAAUGACUCCAUGAUACAUGGGAUAUGAAUUGUUAAAGAUUGUCACAACUGCCCCUUUUGACCCUUCAAAUUACUUCCACAGUCCAUCACUUUGCAGCUUUCUUGACCCUUGUUUACCAAGUAACCCAAUAGGCAUAAGAAUUAUUGGAGGUUGGCCCAACAGCCCCUUUUGACCCUUCAAAUGGCUGACACAGUCAACAUUUUCAGCUUUACUCACCCUUCUCAACCAAGCAAGCAACUCACUAGGAAUAGGAAUUAUCAAAUUAAGUAACUUUGCCACAAGCAGCCCCAACCCCACCCCCAACCCCCCACCCAACAUAUUUUUUUGGCAAUUUUUGUUAAAUCUAAUUUAAUAUUUUGAUAUUUGGAUUACCUAAAUUAGAAAUGUAAGUUAAUUUUUAGAAUUUUGUUUGUAGUCUAAUUUAAUGUUGAUUAAACUCGAGUAAGUUCAAAUUAGGAUUAAAUCUAUUUAAGGAUGGUGUUAAACAAAUGAGGAAACCUAAACCUUAAUUAAGUGGGUUAUUAGAAAAAAUAUUAUGGUAUUAAUUAUUGCAUGAAUUUGUAUGGCUUAAAAUUAGUUAAUAAUACCCCCUCAUUAUUAUUCAAUAAAAGUGGCCAAUUCUAUGGUAAAGAAUAAAAAUAUUAAAAACAUUAGAUACCCCUCAUUAUUAUUCAAUAAAAGUGGCCAAUUCUAUGAUAAAGAAUAAAAAUAUUAAAAACAUUAGUAAAAGAUGUUUUAGACUUUACUAAAAAAAAUUAAGUUAAAAGACUUUUUCAAAAGAAUUUUAAAAAGUAUUUAAACUCCCCACUAAGAUAUUUUUAAUAAAUCAUUUGUUUUUUGUUUACCAAAUGGAAAUUUGAAUUAUUAAAUGUUAUCUAACUGCUAGACAAAUUAAUAACUUGUUUGACAAUUAUUUUUUGAGAAGUGUUUUUUGUUUUUAUCUUUAGAUUGUUUUCACUUAUUUUUUUAAAUUUGUUUAAAAAAAUAAUUAUACAGAAGAAUGAUUAAAAAUAAAGUAUUAAAUAUAAAAAAAAAUCAUUUUUAAAAAACAUUAAAAACUAUUUUAAAAUAUUUUAAAUUCUCAAACAAACUUUUAUUUUACAAAAAAAUAAAAAAUAAUUUUCAAAAAUUGUUCUUAAAAACUAUUUUUAAAAAUUAUUUUUUAACACAAUUACAAAACAGAUCAUAACUUUCUUUGCCUAAGUGCAAAUCUACCUAAAUUGUAAAUGUAAAAUACUUUUUGGCAAUUUAUUUAUAAUUUAAUUUUAAGAUUCCACACUUUGGGUUUUGGAUUACCACUUUUAAUCUCCCAACUUUUUAGAGUAGGAUUGGAUUAGCUAAAUUUGACUCAAUGCUUAGAGUUAGGUCCCGGGUGGUUUUUGACUGGCUCAUACUCUCCUAAAUUAUAAAUGUAAGUACAUCUUUGGGUUCAUUUCCUUCUUUUUUUUUUUUUUUUUCAAAAACAAAAUAUCUUAUAUGAAAAAAAAAAAAAAAGAAUUCUUGUAUAAAAGCUAGUUAUAUACCUUGUAUAAAAAUUUAAGUAAUUUUACUCCCACAAAUUUUCUAGGUUUUGAAAAGAAUUUUUAGAAAUACAAGGUAAAUUUUAACUUUUUAUAUAAAAGUUCUUAUAUUUUAUAUAGAAAUUUUUAUUUUUAAAUAUAAAAAAUAAAAAAUAAAAAAUGUAUCUAAUCACCACCUAAAUUAUUUUUCACCAUUUUUUUUAUACUAUAAUCUAAUGUUUAUGAUCCAAAUCUAGUGUUUGUAGUUGAGUUUGUAUUAAAGUUUAGUCAACGUAUUCAUGGAUGAAGCUAAACUAAUGGCAGAAACUUUAUUUAAGUGAGCAAUUAGAACAAUUAUGAGGGUAAUAAAUAAUUGAUAAAUUUUCAAAAUUUAAAAUUUGUUAACAAUUCCCCUCAUUAUUAUCAAAAAUAUAUAUACAAUUAUAGAGGUUAAUUAUAAAAAAGAAAGAAAAUAUAUGAUAUAUCAAAUUGAAUAAAAAUAAUAUCAAACAUAUUGGUUAAGAUAUUUUAGUUUUUCUAAAAAACAUCCAAAAAAUUAAAAGGUUUUUUUCAAAAGAAUUAAAAAAUAGUUGAAAUUUUCAAUAAGAAAUUUCUAAUAAUUUUGUUUUAACAAAAAAAAAAUCCUAAAAAUAUUUUUUUUUUAAAAAAUUCAACAAUUCCACUUAUAAAUUUCUUCUAUUUUUCAAAUAGCUAAAGAUAAAUUGACUGAGAAAACUAUUUUUUUUUAUGAAGUAUAUAUAAUAUAGUAAAAAUAUCAUAUUAAGUUAUAUAAUUUUUAUAAUUAAAGUUAAAUUCAAAUUCUCAUGAUAUGAGUCAUUAUGUAGGAUUAAAUGAGAUUUGAUAUGAUGAUACUUAUAAAAUCGAUGAUUGAUAUUCAAAUGUUUCUUUUUAAAACAAAUUGAUUUAACUCUAUAAAUGAUACCACCACCCAUAUAAAUUAAUAUUAAUUACAAACUUCCAUAAUACAAAUCAUUGCAUAGGAUUAGAUUUAUUAAAAAUUAAAUAACAUAUAAAUUUAUAUAGCUUUGUAGUAAAUUCUAAAUUAGUGAUUAUUUGAUUAAAUCUAAAAAAUAAAAAUAAAAUGACCAAAUCAAUCUGCAAAAAAUUCACCACUCAAAAUAAUUUAAUAAAAUUUCAAAUACUAAUAGAAUUUUUUGAGGGAUGACGUUUAGAAAAAUCAAAUUUAGCUUUUUCUAUUUGAAAAAACCUCAUUUUCAAGGGAAGACAUUAUUAAAUCCUCCUUGAUGAUGGUAAAGCUAGGGAAAGAAAAAGAAACAACAAAUCUUAAUAUGAUGUUUCAAGGAACCCUUUCUUCAAUGAAGCAAACUAGUUUUAUGGGGCCUAAUUGACUGGAAGUUCUUAUUUUCAUUUGUCCAAAUAAAGAAAUAUUCAGAAACUGAAAAUCUUCUUUCCUCUCACAAUUCUGAACAAUCAAAGCAACUAUUAAUAAAAAACACUGAGAAUAUGACAGAUUUUGAACUUAAUAUCAUCUCGAUUCACCUACUCAAGAAAUUUGAUGAGUUUUUGAGCUUGGAAGAGUCAGGUCAAAUCCACAUGUCUGAAAAUUUGGAAGGCAGUGAUUCUACAAUUCAAAGUAUAACUGCUUCAUUUGGAUAUGAUCAUCAGGAUACCACUGUAUGAGCACCAAACUUUCUUACAUUGAAUGAGUUGAAUACUAGGAAAACUGAACUAACUCUUUUCAUGGGUCAAUCAUAUAACUAGAAAUGGGAUCUGUAAGUGCAGUCAUGGAACUGCUGGAAGCCUUGAAAUACCUCUGAACUUUCUGAAGAAGGUCAAAACUUUUCUUUUUGCUAGCUCAAGUCUAAAUUUAAUAGCAUUUCAAACCCUGCCCCGUCAUACAUUUGUGUCAAGUAGUCUGUCUUUGAUAUCUCCAAACUCUGCUGUAACCAAUCCAUACAAAGUUCAUGCAACCGGACAUGCCCAAUAAUACCAUCUCCACCACACAGGAAUCCUCUGCAUUCAUCAUGGAAGAAAUGCAACAAAAUGAGACAGUUUCGUAUCCAUGUGCUAAACAAAGUUCCAAUUUAAAGAAUUAUGGGUUGAGAGCACUAACAGUCCGUGGGACGAUAAAACCUGAGAAGAGGUUCCAUAAUGCAUAAAAUGCUACAGCAAUGAUGGCAGCAAUAUGUUGAUUUGUUGUGGCAGCCACAGCCAUCAUGCCAAAAAAGGUAAAGUAUAAUUGGCUGAAGAACGUAAAAAACAAAUACCAGAAGAACUUAGCAGCUGUCCAUUCAAAUCCAAUCAUUGCAUAAACUAUAGCACCAUACACCACAGCUUGUGAAAAGACACAUGGUAUCUCAACUAAAGCCUGAAACAAGAGAUGAAUUUUGAUUAAUAAAACCCAUAAAGCAUUAGAGACAUACAAAGUCUAAAGCAUAAGAAAACUUGUUACCUGUGCAAAGGCUUAUGGCACGGAUGAAUACAUUCCUGCAGCUCUUUCUCUGUAAAAGACUGUCUAUUUCAACUGCCACGACUGGUUGCACCAAUUGGCCAUUCUGAAACCCAAGGAAGAUAACAGCAGCUACAUAGAGCCCAUUGCAUUAGAAAGAUCUCGUUGCCUUGUUCUGCAUUUUCCCAUGUGAAGUAAAAAUUGAAGUUGAUUUGGAGAAGCAUACUGAGUUCUCAAAAUUCUUAACUUACUUCAAGUUACCUUUGGGUGCCGAGAUCCCAGAACAUGGUUCCAAACAUCAAGGCUAUGAAAGUUGUGAAGAAAAAUCUCACUGCCGUGUAUGGUGGAUUGCGCCAGUAUGACCAACAUUGUUUCCAUAAGCAUGCCAUACAUUGGGUGAAGAAGGGCUGGGAGUAUUGAUUAGGGAAAUAGAGGUCCUUAGAACUAGGGGUAGGUUGGCUCAAUUCUUUAAUUAAAUCUUUGUUUCUCCUGAAACAUAUGCCACAUCUUAGAAAAGGCUUCAACAACAAAUUCAAGCCUGCAUGAUGAACAUUGAGAUGGCUGUAUAUGACAUUUCAAUAUCAUAAAGCAUUCGGAUAUCCUAUAGUUAAAUCACCUGUAUAUGUCUGAGUUUUUGUAUAUUUCAGUGAAAUUCACCCCCAAGAUUAAUUCUUGUGCAGAAAUGGUAACUUCCAACAUCUUUGAUUUUUCCUACUCCUCCAAUUCCCUAAAUGAAAGCGAGUCACAUGUAUUAGUAAGCACUUGAUAUGAAUUAACUCAAACUAAAGUAUUUUGCUUAUAGCUUUUACUUUAUCAUGGCAGCAUACCUCAAAAUACUUUAUCAGAUGAGAAGAAUGUCUACCCAGUGGUCCCACAUAUAUUUCUUGUCCUCCACUAAAAGCAAACAGCUCAAAUUCUGCAAAACUGGUGAAAAUUUCACACAGUAGCUUCUGUCUCACCUUCAUGAAGGCAUCGAUAUCAGGAUCAGGCAUAAUAUUUGCUGCUUUCUCUCUUCUUGAGAGCUCUGCUAACAUGUCUGCAGAUAGCCAAAAAAAAGUGUCAAUCUCCUGGCCCAUGCAAAUGUCAUACAACUACAUUCACAACCUUCAAAAACAAAGAAAAUAAAAGUGAAGGCAAUGGUUUAGACUAACCAUAUCGAUCUCCAACACCCUGGCAUCUUGCAGAGAAGGUCAAGGUUUCCCGUACAGUCAUUUCUCCUAUAUGGGUAUCAAGUUGGCUUAUGUAGGCGGCAGUUCUCUGGGGUACAAACUCAUUCAUGCCGUGACCCUUGUAUGUCACCCUUCCCGCAACCUAAACAAGAAAUUUCAGCUUUCAAAUUGGAUAUGAGAUUAAAGAGCUAAAAAGUGAAUAUUCAUCAAAGAACAAAAGCAAUAGAACUUUCUUUUUUUUUUUUUUUUUUUUUUUCAAUUCAACCUUUAGACUAGAAUCAAGGAUUCCGUACAAAUCCAAUAAGAGAGUGGUCUUUUCAGAACUUGGAGGACCCAAAAGCAACGUCAUUCUGCAGAGAGAAAAAAUGCACAAAAAAUUGAAUACGGAUCUUCAGGGCAUUCUAAAUUUGAGAAAAUAAAAAUUCAUUUGUUUUAUCAAUCAAUUUUUUACUAGAAAUAAAUUCUUAUUCUCACCUUCGGGGUCUGAUGAUUCCGCUAACAUCAUGAAGAAUAGUGAAUUUCUUCUUUCUACUUGGAAGAAUCCGAAGGGUGUUCAAGAUAUCCUUUAAAACAGAAAGAAAAAUUAUAAUCUAAAGACAAACUUACCUAAGAGAAUAUUUGUUGCUUAGUUAGUGAUCUGUCUUUGCAUUUUAGUUACCUCAAUUUUAUUAAAAGCAGAAUUAAUGAAUGAAGGCAAAGCUCUGCUUCCUACAUAAGCUUCUGCAUCAAUGGUAAGAUGCUCAAAUCUAACUUCAAUUUCGGGAAGAUCAAUUNNNNNNNNNNNNNNNNNNNNNNNNNNNNNNNNNNNNNNNNNNNNNNNNNNNNNNNNNNNNNNNNNNNNNNNNNNNNNNNNNNNNNNNNNNNNNNNNNNNNUUCAAUUUNCGGGAAGAUCAAUUCCAACUCUGAAAAAUGGAAGGGACAUGAAAACCCAUUAUUAAGAAGUCAAAGGAAGAUGCUGUUUGGUUGAGAAGAAAAUGUAGGAAACACUGUCAGGCAUAUUUAAGUUGAAUUCUUUCUUAUCCACUAUUUUCACUUUUCAAUGUUCAAAAAGCGGCAAGGAACGCAAGAAAAGAGGAGAAACCGCACCUAUCAAUACGAUUCUUGAGCUUCAACAAGAACUUCUCAUUGUCCUCAUCGGCGAUUUUCACCAACCGCUCCACUAAACUCUUCUUUUCCUGAAGCCCAAGGUUUUGUAUAUCAACUUCACUGACCUCACCCUCUGAUCCCAGCAGCAAACCUUUCCUUAACCGAUUGUAGGUGGGGAGUUUCUCGAGUGCGGCCCAUUUCAAAGCUUCCUUGUCAUCCUCACCCCUCGAAGAUUGGGUGAAAAUCUCAACAUCAGGGGUCCUCCAUCUCAUAGAACCGGCUCUACGAGUUUCAGGAGUCGACAUUGCAACCAGAAAGGAAGAACUCUCCUGUAAAACCAAAAAGAACCCACCAAAACCCAGAAACCUUUCCGAAGAAUAUAAGCUCCUUUCUUCUCUCUUAGUACGAUGCUUUGUCUUGUUCCAUUGCUGCUACUUUGCUCUGCACUGGAAUAAACAUAUAGAAUGGAAGGUUUAUAUGGUGAUUGGUAGGACAGAAAAUGAAGCGGCUCAAAAGAUUCGAAACUGGUUUAUUUUCCUGUGAUUCUUAGAAAAUUGGCGGGGGAAAAUUGACCAUAGAGGAGUCUGCACAAUGACUCCGUAAUAAUGUGCACAUGCCACCAUCUUUACCUUUCACAGUUCAUAAUUACUUCCUAUAUUAAGACUUUCACGGUUCAUCUCACACUCCCUAUUUAACAAAAAAUUUAUAUUUUUCUAAAUAAAUGAUAAAAAUAAAAAAUAAAAAAUAAAAAAUAAAAGAAAAAUAAAUUUAUAAUCUAAACACUCAAAUGAUAUUUUAGACUAAUGAAAAAUAAAGAACCUAAAUAUUCAAUAACAUUCUCCUCUAUUAAGCCAUAAGCUUAGAAUCUUAAAACAAAUUACUCUAAGGCUAUGUUUGGUUAUCAUAAAAUUUGAAGGAAAAUGCAAGGGAAAGAAAAUGCAAAAGAAAAAUAGAAUGAAAGAAAAUAAAAAAUAGAUUAAAAGUUGAUAAUUUUUUUUAUUACUUUAAACUUAUUUUAUUUAUUUUAACUCAUCAAUACAAAGAUUGAAUAAUUUAAAAAUACAUAAGUUUUUAAUUAGUUUUAAUUGUAUUUGAUUUUCUUUUAUAUUUUUUAUAGGACAAUCAAACAUGAAAAAAUCAUUUUCCUAUGCAUUUUUUUUCUUUCCUUAGUAUUUUCCAGAAACCAAACAUAACCUAAAAAUAUUUUUUAGAGUUGUGUAUUUCAAAAAGAAUGGGAUUGCUUCUUUUUUUUUUUCAUUUUAAGUCUUAAAUUACUUUAAAAUUUAAAAUCAAAAUAUAAAAAAUUUUAUUUUUUACAUUAAGAUAAAUUUAUCUUAUACAAAGUAACAAGUUAAUAAACAAAUAGUUUUAAAACGACUUAAGUCUUAACACAAUUAAGUAUUAUUUUAAAAUUAAACAAUAAAAAAACCAUCACCUUACAAAUAAGAUUUAAGUGGGUUUUACCAUUCAAAAUUGCUUGAAAUCUAAGAGGUUAUUUGUUUUUUAAACUUAAAUCUUAAAGCUAAUUGCUUUAAAAUUUAUUAUAAAAAUAAAAAUAAAAUAAAAUAAAAACUUUUGUUGUUAAGACAAAAUUUUAUUUUAAAAAUGAUAAACUAAAAAAUAAUUUCAAAAAUGACUUCGAUCUUAAAGCAACCCUUUCUAUUAGGAUUCCAUGUCUAUCCUAAUUAAAAUUAAUAAUUAACUUGAUUUUCAGUAAGAUUAUAUCGAUAUUAACCGAUAUUAUUUUCUAAUAAAAGUAUUUAUGAAAGCACAAACACAUUUAUGCUUCAAAAAAUGGAAAACAUUUUUUAGUAUUUACAACUAUAUUUACAAAAUAGUUGGAUUCCUCACAUCCUUUCAAACACACUGCAGGUACAAAUUUAGAAUCCUCACAUGCUUUCAAACAAACUAUAGGUGCAAAUUUAGAAUCCUCACAUGCUUUCAAACAAACUCUAGGUGCAAAUUUAGAAGUUGUUGCCAUAAGAGAUUUUCAAAUUUAAUUUUUUUCCUUUUUCAUAAGGAAAAAACCUAGGUACUAAAUUUGUAGAUACCAACUUUGUCUAUCCACAUAAAAAUAUUCCAAAUAUAUUUAAAAAAAAAUUGGAGUCCUCACAUAAAGUCAUCUUGAACAAAGGGUACUGCAACUUUUUGGGCUGUCUUAAUUAUCUUGAGUUAAAUGGUAUAGUGUUUAAGAAUGUGGACCCGAGACACGAAUAAUUAGAGUAAGAUAUAACCAAAUAAGACUAAGAUACGAAAUAAUGAGACCAAAGAAUUUGUCUCUAAAAGAUAUGAAAAAAUGAGAGUUAAAUAUAAAUUAACCCGAUAUAGGUAUAAAUUUAACAAGAGAAAUAUUAGCUAUGCUUAAAUGUGUGAAUUUAGGAAAAUCUAAAAUUUCGAUCAUAAUUUUUCAUGAUUAAAUCAACUAUAUAUAGGAAUGGUUGAAAAUAAUGAAAGCAAUGUAUAACCAAAUGGGACUAAGAAAAAUAAUGAAACCAAAAAAUUUGUCUCUAAAAGGUAGCAAUAAAUGAGAACCAAGUAUGAAUCAACUAAAUAUAGGUAUAAAUUUAAAUAAAGAAAUAUUAGCUAUGCUUAAAUGUGUGAAUUUAGGAAAAUCUAAAUUUGGUCAUAAUUUUUCAUCAUUACAUCAACUAUAUAUAGGAAUGGUUGAAAGAGUAGUAAAUUUGGAAGGCUGUGAUUUUACAAUUCAAAGUAUAGCUGCUUCAUUUGGAUAUGAUCAUCAGGAUACCACUGUAUGAGCACCAAACUUUCUUACAUUGAAUGAGUUGAAUAGGAAAACAGAACUAAUUCUCUUCAUGGGUCAAGCAUAUAACAAGAAAUGGGAUCUGUAAGUGCAGUCAUGGAACUGCUGAAAAUACCUCUGAACUUUCUGAUGAAGGCCAAAACUUUUCUUUUUGCUAGCUCAAGUCUAAAUUUAAUACUAUUGUUUCACUGUUACAUUUGUGUCAAGUAGUCUGUCUUCGAUAUCUCCAAACUGUGGUGUAACCAAUCCAUACAAAGUCCAUGCAACUGGACAUGCCCAAUAAUACCAUCUCCACCACACAGGAAUCCUCUGCAUUCAUUAAGGAAGAAAUGCAACAAAAUGAGACAGUUUUGUAUCCAUGUGCUAAACAAAGUUCCAAUUUAAAGAAUUAUGAAUCAUUGUAAAAGAGUAAAUUUAUGGACAUACAAAUUAAUAUAAUUGUAGGAAAAAAUAGGAUUUGACUCACUAAUACGAAAAUAUAUAGAAAAAAUAGCCUCAAAUUGUUAUUCCCUAAAAUAUCCUUUUUACUUAUCAUGUUAUCAACACCAAUUGAUAACUAGAUUCCUUCAAGUAAAUUUAUUAUUAUUAUUAUAGGAAAAAGUAGGUUUUGACUCACUAAUAUGAAAAUAUAUAGAAAAAAUAACUUCAAAUUAUUAUUCCCUAAAAUGUCUUUUUUACUUAUUAUGUUAUCAACACCAAUUGACAACUAAAUUCCUUCACGUAAAUUUAUUUGUUAUUAUUAUUAUUAUUAUUAUUAUUAUUAUUAUUAUUAUUCCUUCACGUAAAUUUAUUGUUAUUAUUAUUAUUAUUAUUAUUAUUAAAAAUGCCCUAAACAAUCAAAGUCCUUAAAAUUAACCUCAACUUACCUUAAUGAAAAAAAAUCAUACGAAGACCUUGGAAAAAACCAUAAACCUUAUUUUCAGCAAACUCAAAUUAGCUAAGGUUUUACCUACUAGUUAUAUUCACACUCUUUCAAAUUACCUCACUUUUGCUAUGAGAUGUUUGUUUAUAGAAAAAAAAAUCAACUUUUCCUAAAGGGUCUUUGUUUUUGGAGAAAAAAAAUCUAAAAUGAUAAUAAUAAUAAUAAAUAUCUAAAAGGAAGAUAAUUAAUUACGUGGAGUUUAGUUGUCAAUUAAUGUUGAUGACAUGACAAGUAAAAAUGGCAUUUUAAAAAAUAAUUAGAUGACUCAUUAAAAAUUGCAUGUAUUUCAAAUUAUUUUAAAAUAAAUAAAUAUAAUAUCCAUAUACAAAAUUUAGAGUUCUUUUUUUUUCAUAUAUUUUCAUAUUAGUGAAUCAAAACCCAUUUUCCCCCCAUAAUUAUAUACUCAAUUUAUAUAUUAGCCAUUAUUUGAUAAAAUUUAAAAUUAUUUUUAAAAUAUCAAAAUCAAGCCCUAGAUAACUCACCAUUAAAAAAAUAUUUAAGAAGUUAUAAAAAGCUCCUUUUAUUAUAUUUUUAUGGUAUAUAGUAGAAUUUAAAUAAAAUUAAUUCUAAAAUUUUUAAAAAUUAAAACAAAAAAAAAUCAUUUAUAAAAGUUAUUAACCAUUAAUAAUUGAUAGUGGUUGUAUUAUAAAAAAAAAAAAAAGAAGGUUGUAUUAGUCUUGUCAUUGAUAUUCAUAAUUGAUAAUAUCAUAUAUUAAAAUUAUUAACCAUUACUAAUAAAUCAACACUAAUUAUUAAUUAUUUAGACCUAUUUUACAAAAAAAGAAUGAAAAUUUUAAAUUAAUAUACCAAAAUUAGUUUUAGAAGCAUAUAGAGAAGAUUGAGAAUAAAAUUUGAGUUUUGUGGUGUUGUUUUAGUGUUUUAAGUUUUGAAACUUGAGUUAAGUGAUUGUUCUUUGCUCUGUUUGGUUGUUGAGAAAAAUAGAAGAAGAUUAAGAAUUCAACUUAAGUUUCGUGGUUAUUGCUUUGGUGUUUGAAGUUUUGAAACUCGAGCCAAAUGGUUGUGCUAAUAUAUGUAUCUUUUUUUGUAUGGAUUCUAACCAAAUCAUGGUGAACACACUUGUGCACACAUCCAAGAACAUAUAUAUCAAAUUUGAACAACCGUAUAAUGCAGUUGUAUUGACCAUACAAAGAUAAUGAACAAACUAUGUAAAGGGUAUACAAGACAAAUCAUGGAUUUUGAACAGCUAUACAAGACCGUUACAUUGACUAUAUAGGAGCAAUGAACCAACUAUACAAAAUUAAUGAACUAACUACAUAAAAAGUGUACAAAAUAGGACAUGAAUUUUGAACAACCAUACAAUACAGUUGCAUUCACUUUAUAAGGCCAAUGAACUAAUUAUACAACCAAUGUAUGAAUUUGAAUGUUUGUUUACAACUUAUUUCUAUCCCUCGCCAAAACACCUCAAAGGUUUAUGACAAUAAAAAGAAAAAAAAAAGUAUUAAUUUUUUUUUCAAAUUUUAAAAAAUCCAAUAAAUAUAAAAAUAGAUUUUUAUUUUUUAAAGAUAAAAUUAAAAAUUGAAAAAAAUAUGAUAAAUUUAAUUUUUUUUAUCUUUAACUUAAUUUGUAAAUAUUUUAAAAAUAAAUAGGAAAAUUAAAAUAUUGCAAUUGAUUUUUAAGAUAAAAUUUGAAAACAAAAAAUAACAAUAACUUUCAUAUAAAAUAUAAAAACUUUUAGAUACUUAGGUGGUGUUUAUUUUUUUUACUUAAUUCAAAAUAGAACCUUAAUGUUUAAUAGUGUUAAAUAUUAGGUUGUUUGUUUUUAUAGUAUUUUAUUUCUAUUAAGUAUUAAAAAGUAAAAAAAAUAAAUAUGUUAUUUUUUCUAUUUAGAAAAAGCUACAUAUUUUGGCUUUUUCUAUUUAAUAAAAAGUUUAUAAUAAGUCAUGAAAAAAGUAGAAAAACAAAUAACCUAAAUUCUAAAACUAAAUUGCUUUCAGCAAAAAGCCAAAAAAAAAAACACCACCUUAAACUAAAGAGGUAAUGGUAAUAAAAAAAAGUAAAAAAAAAAAAAAAAAAAAAAAAAAAAAAAAAAAAAAAACUCUACCCCUGACUUGGUCCCCAUGUUCGAUAUUGUACUAUUAAACACACUUCAUUCAAAUCCAUUCAAAUUGCAGUCUUUGUAUGAAGAGACUUAGCUCUGUUCAUGGGGCAUUACCUUGUUCAAUGCUGAGUUUGAGCAGCAAACAUAGCUCCCUUGAGUCCUAGAGACCUCAAUGUGACUUUUACAGAGUCAGAUGAUCCCUUGCAUGUCUUUUACCCUUGUUUAGAUGGCGAGAAAAUUAGAAGAAAAGGUUUUAGAAACUCACCACUAAGCAAGGAUUCAUGCAGAAUUUGUUAUGGGAUGAUGCACAGAAUAUUUGCCUUCUUUCUCCUCUGUUCUACAAGCUAAAUGCACAUACUAAAGUGUAGUAUAUAACUUUGUAUUAACUCAAUGAGAUAGUGACACUUCUCAGACUAAUAGAAUGGUUUGAUCAAAUUCUGCAAGUAUAAACAGUAAAGAUCUCAGCUGAGCAAACAACUUUGUAUUACUUUUUCAUGUUGGCCACAAUCACUAGAUCCUCUAUCCCCUGUUGAACUUUUUUGCUGUUAAUGAACUCAAAAAUCAAAUUUAGCUUUUUCUAUUUGAAAAAACCUCAUUUUCAAGGGAAGACAUUAUUAAAUCCUCCUUGAUGGUGGUAAAGCUAGGGAAAGAAAAAGAAACAACAAAUCUUAAUAUGAUGUUUCUAGGAACCCUAUCUUCAAUGAAGCAAACUAGUUUUAUGGGGCCUAAUUGACUGGAAGUUCUUAUUUUCAUUUGUCCAAAUAAAGAAAUAUUCAAAAACUGAAAAUCUGUUUUCCUCUCACAAUUCUGAACAAUCAAAGCAAGUAUUAAUAAAAAACACUCAGAAUAUGACAGAUUUUGAACUUAAUCUCAUCUAGAUUCACCUACUCAAGAAAUUUGAUGAGUUUUUGAGACUGGAAGAGUCAGGUCAAAUCCACAUCUCUAUAAAUUUGGAAGGCAGUGAUUCUACAAUUCAAAGUAUAACUGCUUCAUUUGGAUAUGAUCAUCAGGAUACCACUGUGUGAGCACCAAACUUUCUUACAUUGAAUGAGAUGAAUACUAGGAAAACUGAACUAAUUCUCUUCAUGUGUCAAGCAUAUAACUAGAAAUGGGAUCUGUAAGUGCAGUCAUGGAACUACUGGAAAUACCUGUGAACUUUCUGAAGGCCAAACUUUUCUUUUUGCUAGCUCAAGUCUAAAUUUAAUACUAUUCCAAACCCUGCCCCUCAUACACAUUUCAUGGUUUUGAAACCAUACUAUUUUCAUGCUGAUACCUGUCUUUAUGAUUUCAGCUGCUUAAAGCAGAGACUGAAAGUGGAGCACCAUACCAGUAAGUUGGUCAUCAAGAUGAAAGGAUUGCAUAAGGUUAUAUUAUUCUCUUGAAUUUCAAAUUUCAAAUUACAUACAACUGGGAGAAAACAAAAUACAAGAAUUUAACAAGAUAAAUAUUACCUCCUCAUAGCAGGGCUAUCAAUACUAUCUAACAGCCUAUACAUAGAACGAAACCAUUUUUUCAUCUUUGAAGAACUUGAGCUUUUAUCGCCUUUGGAAGUUAAAUGCCUUAAUGGAAAAGGCAAAGAUAAAUAAGAAAAGCACCGUAAACCCAACAAUCACAGCUGCAACCACUCCCAGGAAAUCAUGUUCAAACCCAAAAUAGUCAUCCAAGUAUUGUUUCACUGUUACAUUUGUGUCAAGUAGUCUGUCUUCGAUAUCUCCAUACUGUGAUGUAACCAAUCCAUACAAAGUCCAUGCAACUGGACAUGCCCAAUAAUACCAUCUCCACCACACAGGAAUCCUCUGCAUUCAUCAUGGAAGAAAUGCAACAAAAUGAGACGGUUUCAUAUCCAUGUGCUAAAUAAAGUUCCAAUUUAAAGAAUUAUGGGUUGAGAGCACUAACAGUCCGUGGGAUGAUAAAACCUGAGAAGAGGUUCCAUAAUGCAUAAAAUGCUGCAGCAAUGAUGGCAGCAAUAUGUUGAUUUGGUGUGGCAGCCACAGCCAUCAUGCCAAAAAAGGUGAAGUAUAAUAGGCUGAAGAACGUAAAAAAAAUAUACCAGAAGAACUUAGCAGUUGUCCAUUCAAAUCCAAUCAUUGCAUAAACUAUAGCACCAUACACUACAGCUUGUGAAAAGACAUAUGGUAUCUCAACUAAAGCCUGAAACAAGAGAUGAAUUUUGAUCAAUAAAACGCAUAAAGCAUUCGAGAUAUACAAAGUCUAUAGGAUAAGAAAACUUGUUACCUGUGCAAAGGCAUAUGGCAUGGCUGAAUACAUUCCUGCAGCUCUUUCUCUGUAAAAGACUGUCCGUUCGACUACCACGACUGGCUGCACCGAUUGGCCAUUCUGAAACCCAAGGAAGAUAACAGCAGCAUACAUAGAGCCCAUUGCAUUAGACAGAUCUUGUUGCCUUGUUCUGCAUUUUCCCAUGUGAAGUAAAAAUUGAAGUUGAUAUGGAGAAGCAUACUGAGUUCUCAAAAUUCUUAACUUACUUCAAAUUACCUUUGGGUGCCGAGAUCCCAGAACAUUGUCCCAAACAUCAAGGCUAUGAAAGUUGUGAAGAAAAAUCUCACUGCCGUGUAUGGUGGAUUGCGCCAGUAUGACCAACGUUGUUUCCAUAAGCAUGCCAUACAUUGGGUGAAGAAGGACUGGGAGUAUUGAGUAGGGAAAUAGAGGUCCUUAGAACCAGGGGUAGGUUGGCUCAAUUCUUUAAGUAAAUCUUUGUUAUUCCUGAAACAUAUGCCACAUUUUAGAAAAGGCUUCAACAACAAAUUCAAGCUUGCAUGAUGAACUUUGAGAUGGCUGUAUAUGACAUUUUAAUAUCAUAAAGCAUUCAGAUAUCCUAUAUUUGAAUCACCUGUAUAGAUCUGAGUUUUUGUAAAUUUCAGUGAAAUCCACCCCCAAAAUUAAUUCUUGUGCAGAAGUGGUAACUUCCAACAUCCAAGUUGCAGGGUUAUAACCAUCUUUGAUUUUACUCACUCCUUCAAUUCCCUAAAUGAAAGCCAGUCACAUGUAUUAGUAAGCACUUUAUAUGAAUUAACUCAAAAUAAAGUAUUUUGCUUAUAGCUUUUACUUUAUCAUGGGAGCAUACCUCAAAAUACUUUAUCAGAUGGGAAGAAUGUCUACCCAGUGGUCCCACAUAUAUCUCUUGCCCUCCACGCUUCAACAGGAGCAACUUCAAAUGCAUUUUGAAUAUGUCAGUACUUACAUUCAGGAGAGCAUAGAAGAGAAUAAAUCCUUUCUAUCCAUUAACAUUUCCCACCUCAUCAAAGGCUUCAAAGAUGUCAAUACUUGGCUGAUGGAUGGUGCACACAACUGUUCUUCCUGUGUCCACUGUGUUCCUGACUGUUCUCAUAACAAUUGCAGCAGCUCUUGCAUCUAGCCCUGAAGUUGGCUCAUCCAUGAAUAUUAUUGAGGGAUUUGCCACAAGCUCAACUGCAAUGGUCAGCCUCUUGCGCUGCUCGGUUGAGAGACCAUUUACACCUGGCAACCCAACUAGUGCAUCCCUUAAUGGGGUCAGUUCCACGAGCUCCAUGACUUCCUCAAUGAACAUCUGUAACCAUUAGCAAGGAUUACAAAUUGUUUGAACCAGCACUUUUCCCCACAGUGAAGCUCAACCAAGUUUGAAAAAUAUGGAAACAACUCAAGAAAGUCUCACCAUUCUGGUUUCAGCAUCCACAUCAGGAGACAACCGCAGCCAAGCUGAGUAGAGCAAGGACUCGUGGAUAGUAACAUGAGGAGAGUGGAUGUCAUUCUGCUCACAGUAUCCACAAAUUCGAGCAAAAGUCUCUUGCUUCUUUGGGUAGCCAGAAAUGCUGAUGUUUCCCUCAAUAUAUCCACCAGUUUUCCGACCAGCCAAUACAUCCAUGAGAGUGGUUUUACCAGCACCACUAACACCCAUCAGAGCUGUAAGAACACCUGGCCUGAAAGCACCACUCACCCCCUUCAGAAGCUCCAAUUUGUCUUCAAGGACACCCUGACUUUUCAUUUCCUGGAAAUUCAAUUCAAACAACUUAGUUCUCAUUUUUGGUUUAUUAGUACAGUAACAACACUCCUAUGCAGCUAAAAUGUACAUUAUUUGCAAAAAUAUGAAGUUACCUCUGGCAUGUCAACUGAGUAUCUAAUAUCAUCAAAGGUGAUAGAAUGUGGUUGGAAUGGGAGAACCAUCCCUUUUUUCUUGUUAUGGUUAGCCUCAGCAAUGGCUUCUUCUGUCACAUAUGAGAAUGUAGAUGAGAUACUUCUCCCAAUUUCCCCUCCCCUCUCUGCAAGUUAAGUUUAAAUUUAGUGAGCCAUAUAACACAUGCAGUUAAAUGACAACAUGUAAGAGUUUCAUCACUUGUGGAUGCAGUUUGGUCAAUUGAGCCUUUUCUAUGGGAUGAUAACUCGAUCUUUCCUCCAGUUUUGGCAUUGUCAGACUCUUCUGUUAUCACAGCUUGAGGCUUCUCAAAUGCUGCACAAUUUGCACAAAUCUUAAUGCACCAACAUCCAAUAUUUUAGGAGUUUCAAUGCAGAGAUGGUAAAGAUACCCACGAUUUAGGUAAGUGAGAGCCACAGUGUAAAAGAAGUUGAAGACAAAUAUGAAUCCAAGCAGUGCCCCGGCUCCUAUCCAGCACCAGUGUGCCUCUGUGAAGAACCCACGAGACUUCAAUACUGUGACUCCAAGGGAUUCUGUUGAAGUGGUAGAAGCAUUCUGAAAAUUGGAAAUACAUUUAAUCAUCAGUUACUGACACAAAUAAACACAAAUAUUUACAUGGACGAUUCAAGUAACUUACUUUGCUCCAACUUUUCCCAAGGAAUUCAUUUACCACUAUUGCGUUCUGUGCAUACAUCAGAGGGGAAGACCAGUAAACCCAAAUCCACCAUUUCUUGAUAUUUUCUGCAGCAUUGACCAAAUACAAAAAGAAAACAAAAAUCCAUUAUUAGGGUUUAUGCACAAGAAGGUUCUACAAUUCCUAAAAAAAUCUUUCAUCCUUAUACCUCGUGAUAGGACAAAACCACCCAAUGCAAAGAGUAAAAGUAAUGCAAAUGUCCCAAAUGUGUUUGCAAUAAUCAUGUUUCUACUAGCUGCUGCUAUAAAUCGAAAUAAUGAAGAUGCCACCUGAUUAAGAAGCAAGAGGAGAAGAUACUGUCUAAACAACCUGCAAUAAAAGAUCUGUUCAUUGAGCAUUGAUCAUUUUGGAACAGAGAAAACAUGUGAAACAAAUCUGGACAAGUUUCAACAUCAUAACUUUUUAACUUUUACCUUCCCACAUUUGGAUCAAAUCCAAUGACAUAAUAAGUGAUGAAUACCCAAACACCAACUUCAACAAAUGUGAUGGGGAUCUUGAGGAACCAUGAGGGAAGAGCAUAUGCCCAUGCAGGAUAGAAAAGUAGGCCUCUUUGCUUGUAAAAGACAGGAAGUUUUACAAUGGUCAUGGCAAGUUCUGACAUUCCAUUAAACAUGACAGUGAUGACAAUGAAGAACAAAGCGCCAGUGUAAAUGUUUCCAUCUUCUGUUGUGUUUUUGUGCAUUUCAGUUCUUAGGAAGAUUGUCAUGCCAAUCACUGCCAUUAUUGUGAGCUAAAAGCAGAAAUAGACUUAAUAAAUUAGGAUCACAUAUAGAAAAUUAAAAACCAUCAUUGUAAGUAACAACAGUAAUAAUACUCACUUGGGUGAGCUUGAAAAUAUAGACAAAUGAGUUCCUCUUCAUCAGCAAGUACUCCCUUGCAAUGCAAGCAUCCAACAGUUCCUUCUUUCUAACACCAUACUUUUCGGUUUUCAUAGCAGCUGGGUGGCUUUUGGUUUUGUCAAAUGGAGUUGCAAGCUCAUCUCCUAGUUUCCGUCCAAUGUGAAAUGACUGGAAUGCCUCAGCAAAUUCCUUGACUGUGACAAAACUGUAAGGCUCAUCUUUACAUAUCCAAUACUGCUCCUGAUCUUUCCUAGAUGUUACCUGUAAUCAAUUUUAAAAUUCAUGUUCUAGCUUGGGUUUUUCUAAAGAAGGGGAAAAAAAUGAGAAUAUGCCAAAAGCUACAAAGCUAUUAGCACUCACUUCUUGUAGGAAGUCUGCCACACCCUUCCUUUCAGGACAUCUGAACCCCAUGGAUUCAAAAAAGUCAAGAACGUCUUCACGAGGACCCUGAUAAACAAUCUGGCUAUCAGAGAGGAGAAUGAUGUCAUCAAAAAGAUUGUAAGUCUCAGGUGCUGGCUGGAGGAGAGAGAUGAGAGCUGUCCCUUUGAAAAUGUGGAUGUUUUGUCUGAGAGAAUUCACGAUUUGAUAAGUCGUUGAGCUAUCCAAGCCAGUAGAGAUCUCAUCCAUGAACAGUGCCUUUGAUGGUCCAACCAGCAUCUCACCUAUCAUUCAUAUAUUUUCAAUUAGUUGAACUAUAUUAGAUUAAUGAAGGAAAAAAUAUCUUCUUCUUUUUUCUUUUUUUUCUUUUUUUUCCUGUUAGGACACAAAUUAUCCUACCAGUUGUGACACGCUUCCUUUGUCCUCCAGAGAUACCCCUCACCAUUUCAUCUCCUACCAUGGUGUCUGCACAAACUUCUAGUCCCAGAAUCUGUAAAUUUAAGUGUAAAUGAAAAUAAACAAAUUAUGAGUUAGAAUUGGAUUUUCUUAGAAAUCUGUAUUCUAUCAUUGAAAGUUUUAUGGUUCUGAUACCUUUAAUGUAUAAUCAGUGAUCACAUUCUCCUUUUGCCCUUCAGCUGCCACUGCCUGAAAUGUUAGAAACCAAUAAUGAAAAUCUCAACCACCAUUAAAGCUAGUUUGGUUCAUCAAGAAAUUCCGUGGAUAAGACCACAGAACAUGAAGAAAACAAAGUCAAUUUGCCUAUCCAUGUGAGAGAUCAAAAUUUUCAUUCUAGAGAAGACAAGAGUCCAUGUUCUCCACUAAAAACAAAUAGCUCAAAUUCUGCAGAACUGGUGAAAAUUUCACAAAGUAGCUUCUGUCUCACCUUCAUGAAGACAUCAAUAUCAGGAUCAGGCUUAAUAUUUGCUGAUUUCUCUCUUCUUGAGAGCUCUGCUAACAUGUCUGCAGAUAACCACAAAAAGAGUCAAUAUCCUGGCCUAUGCAAAUGUCAUACAACUACAUUCACAACCUUCAAAAACAAAGAAAAUAAAAAUGAAAGGCAAUGGUUUAGACAAACCAUAUCGAUCUCCAACACCCUGGCAUCUUGCAGAGAAGGCCAAGGUUUCCCGUACAGUCAUUUCUCCUAUAUGGGUAUCGAGUUGACUUAUGUAGGCAGCAGUUCUCUGGGGUACAAACUCAUUCAUGCCAUGACCAUUGUAUGUCACGCUUCCCAUAACCUAAACAAGAAAUUUCAGUGUCCAAAUUGGAUAUGAGAUUAAAGAGCUAAAGAUUGAAUAUUCAUCAAAGAAAAAGCAAUGAUUUUUUUUUUCCAUUCAACCUUUAGACUGGAAUCAAGCUUUCCCGACAAAGCCAAUAAGAGAGUGGUCUUUCCAGAACUUGGAGGACCCAAAAGCAAUGUCAUUCUGCCGAAAAAAUAAAAUAAAAUAAAUAAAUAAAAAUAAAAAUAAAUAAAUAAAGCUAAAAAAAUGGAGUAAGGAUCUUCAGGAGAUUCUAAAUUUGAGAAAGGAAAAAUUCAUUUGUUUUCCAAACAAUUUUUUAGAAAUAAAUUCAUAUUCUCACCUUCGAGGUUUGAUGAUUCCGCUAACAUCAUGAAGAAUAGUGAAUUUCUUCUUUCUACUUGGAAGAAUCCGAAGGGCGUUCAAGAUAUCCUUUAAAACAGAAAGAAAAAUUAUAAUCUAAAAACAAACUUACCCAAGAGAAUAUUUAUUGCUUGGCUAGUGAUCUGUAUUUGCAUUUUAGCUACCUCAAUUUGAUUAAAAGCAGAAUUAAUGAAUGAAGGCAAAGCUCUGCUUCCUACAUAAGCUUCUGCAUCAAUGGUAAGAUGCUCAAAUCUAACUUCAAUUUCGGGAAGAUCAAUUCCAACUCUGAAAAAUGGAAGAGAAAUGAAAAUCCAUUAUUAAGAAGUCAAAGGAUGAUGCUGUUUGGUUGGGAUGAAAAUAUAGGAAACAUGAAAAUCCAUUAUUAAAAAGUCAAAGCAAGAUGCUGUUUGGUUGCAAAGAAAAUGUAGGAAACACUAUCAGGCAUAUUUAAGGUGAAUUCUUUCUUAUCCACUGUUUUCACUUUUCAAUGUUCAAAAAGAGGCAAGGAACGCAAGAAAAGAGAAAUCGCACCUAUCAAUACGAUUCUUGAGCUUCAACAAGAACUUCUCAUUGUCCUCAUCGGCGAUUUUCACCAAACGCUCCACCAAAUUUUUCCUUUCCUGAAGCCCAAGGUUGUGUAUAUCAACUUCAUUGGCCUCACCCUCUGAUCCCAUCAGCAAACCUUUCCUCAUCCGAUUGUAGGUGGGAAGUUUCUCGAGGGCGGCCCAUUUCAAAGCUUCCUCAUCAUCUUCAUCCCCUGAAGUUCGGGAGAAAACCUCCGCACCAGAGUUCCUCCAUAUGGAAGAACUGUCCUUCCUUAAACUACCACUGGCUCUAUAAAUUUCAGCCGUUGCCAUUGCAACACGAAACGAGGAACCCUCCCUGCAAAACUAACCAAACCCACUAGAACCCAGAAACCUUUCCUACAAAUCAGAGGGAAAAAAAACCCAAAUUUCGAGCUCUGGAGCUGAAAAAGCUCAAAAUCAGAGAUGGGUCGCCUCCACCCUUUCCUCUAUGCAUGCAAUUCCGUCUCUUUGCAUUGUUAAAACUUUGUUCCAUGUUGGAAAAAUGUGAAGAAUGGAAGGUUUAUAUAUUGAUUGGAAGGACAGAAAAUGAGGCUGCUCAGAAGUUUGAAAACCGCUUAUUUUCCACUGACUUCAUCUAGAAAAAUUGGCGGGGAAAAUCGAAUCUAGAAGAGGCUAUGAAAUUACGAAUGUCUCCAUUUUUGACUCUUCAAAUUCUUAUUUUUACAUUUUCACAUUUCAUAAUUUUCAGCCUUCGAGUACAUUGUUUGUCAAGUGACUGUAAAGAAAUGUAAAUUGUUAAAUAUUGUCUAACCGCCGCACUAAGGGCUUGUGUAGACUUUCCCCCUGUUUCAAGAAUGGGUUUUUGUUACUGAAAACAAAAAAUACAAAAAACUUAUUUGAGGAAGGGGAUGUGUUUUUAUUUUUGUGUUUUCCGUGUUCUCAAAAACCACUUUUUUUCAGAACAAUAAAAAAAAUGUUUUCAUUAUUUUUUCAAUAGAAUAAAUUAUUUUUUGUGUUUUCUUUUUCUUCUUUUUGUGUUUUUCUAGCUCCUUUUUGUGUUUUCACAAAGGUGAGCUCCACCCUCACCCUCACCUACAAACCCUUUCUUUUUCCUUAAAUUAUUGAAAUUAAUAUAUUUACACAUUAACUUUCAAACAUGUUUUUUGUUUUACUUAUUCUAAAAAACUUUUUUAUUAACUCAAUAAAACAUUUUUUUUUUAGAACAAAAACUGUUUUUCAAAACAAUUUUCAAAAAUAGCAACCAAACAGACCUUAACUUUUCGGUUUAGCUCAAUUCCCCCUAAAUUGCAAAUGUAAUUUUUUGUGGUUAAAAAGAUGAGGGAAAAGUAGGAUUGAUUUACUAAUAUGAAAAUACAUGGAAAAACAAACCUCAAAUUUUUUAAAUAAUUAUUAUCUUCGUUUAUUUAAAAAUAAUUUCAAAUAGAUACAUUUUUUAAUGAGUCAUCUAAUUAUUCCCUAAAAUAUUUAUUGUCAUAUCAUUAAUAUUAAUUGAUAGAUAGAUUCUUUCACGUAAAUGUUUAUCUUCCUUUUAGAUUUAUUAUUAUUAUUAUUUUAUUUGGGAUUUUUUUUUCACUGCUUUUAUCAUUCAUACUCUUCAAACUAUCUCACUUUUAUGAGAUGUUUAUGAAAAAAAAAAUGUCUUAACUUUUCCUAAGGUGUUUGUUUUUGGGAAAGAAAAAAAUCUCAAAUAAUAAUAAUUGUGGGAUGCUCACAACCGUCUAGCAUGAUCCUUAUGUGUCGUCGAGAGUGAUGCCUAUUUUGUGCAAUCGUCAUGUAUCUGUCUACCUUAAAAUGCAAACAGACAUAAAUCAUUGGGGCACUAUACAUUCCCACCAAUCAAGUAUUAAAUACGACAGAUAUUAAGUGCAUUAAUUGACAUAACCAUUACUAAGCAUAAAACGUCAUACUUCCAAGGCUCAAAAACUAGUAAUCAUUAACAUUAAAGACGAUAAAAGUGCAAUCAAAUGUAUAAUAAACGCAUUGAGAAGACAUUACCUUUGAGCUUGAAUAAACAGUCAUUAUUCAUAAAAAAGAAGUGACUUAAGCUUCCAAAGGAUGUAUCCGAAAAACUCAUUCAAACAUUCUUUUGUGCAAGUGCAAUCGUCGUCUACAUCACAUGAAGGCUAGCCGAAUACUUCAUUAUUGGUCAUGCACCAACAAUAAUGAUAAUAAAUCUAUAAAAAAAAGAAAAAGAAAAACCAUUUAUGUGGACAAGUCUAGUUGUCAAUUAAGGUUGAUGACAUGACAAAAAACAAUAACAUUUUAAAGGAUAAUUAAAUGACUAAUUAAAAGCGCAUGUAUUUCAAUUUUUUUUAAAUAAAUAAAGAUAAUAUUGAUUUAAAAAAUUUAGGUUUCUUUUUUUCCAUAUAUUUUCAUAUUAGUAAGUUAAAACUCACUUUUCCCUUAAAAUUAAAUUCAAAUUCUUAUUAUUCAAAGCAUUACAUUAGUUUGGAUUUAUCAAAUAUUAAAUAACAUAUAAAUUAAUAUUAAUCAUAAAUUCCCAUAAUAUGAAUCAUUGUAAAAGAGUAAAUUUAUGAACAUACAAAUUAAUAUAAUUGUAGGAAAAAGUGAGUAUUGACUCACUAAUAUGAAAAUAUAUAGAAAAAAUAACCUCAAAUUUUUUAAAUCCAUAUUAUCUUCAUCUAUUAAAAAGUAAUUUAAAAUAUAUGUACUUUUUAUUGAGUCAUAUAAUUAUUCCCUAAAAAGUAAUUUGAAAUACACACACUUUUUAUUAUCUUCAUCUAUGAAAAAGAAACUUUUUUUUUCUUUUCAUUUCUUUUAUUUUUUCACACUCAAUUGUUUUUCAUAUUAUUCUUAUAUUUUAAAACAAAAUAAUUUCUUUAAAUAAUAAAUUAUAAAAUGAUUUUAUUAUAUUCAAUGCUUUUUUAAAUUUGCAAAAAUAGACCAUCACCCUAUUCACCUCCCUCUAGGGUGAUUACCAUAGGUUGGAUUAACCUAAUAUUUCUAAUAAUUUUUAAAAUAUCAAAAUCAAGCCCUAGAUAACUCACCAUUAAAAAAAAAAUAUUUAAGAAGUUAUAGAAAGUUCCUUUUAAUAUAUUUUUAUGGUAUAUAGUAGAAUUUAAAUAAAAUUAAUUCCAAAAAUUUUUAAAAAUUAAAAAAAAUCAUUUAUAAAAGUUAUUAACCAUUAAUAAUUGAUAGUGGUUGUAUUAUACAAAAAAAAAAAGGUUGUAUUAGUCUUGUCAUUGAUAUUCAUAAUUGAUAAUAUCAUAUAUUAAAAAUUAUUAACCAUUAAUAAUAAAUCAACACUGAUUAUUAAUUAUUUAGACCAUUUUUACGGAAAAAAAAAUAGUGAAACUUUUAAAUUAAUAUACCAAAAAUAGUUUUAGAAGCAUAUAGAGAAGAUUGAGAAUAAAAUUUGAGUUUUGCGGUGUUGUUGUUUUAGUGUUUUAAGUUUUAAAACUUGAGUCAAGUGAUUGUUCUUUGCUCUGUUUGGUUGUUGAGAAAAAUAGAAGAAGAUUGAGAAUGAAACUUGAGUUUUGUGGUUAUACAGUUGCAUUCACUUUGUAAGGCCAAUGAACUAAUUAUAAAAGCAAUGUAUUGUUUACAACUUAUUUUUAUCCCUCACCGAAAUACCUCAAAGGUUUAUGACAAUAAAAAGAAAAAAAAAAGUGUUAAUUUUCCUUUUCAAAUUUUAAAAAAUCAAAUAAAUAUAAAAAUAGAUUUUUAUUUUUUAAAGAUAAAAUUAAAAAUGGAAGAAAAAUAUGAUAAAUUCAAUUUUUUACCUUCAAGUUAAUUUGUAAAUAUUUUUAAAAUAAAUAGGAAAAUUAAAAUAUUGCAAUUGAUUUUUAAGAUAAAAUUUGAAAACAAAAAAUAACAAUAACUUUCAUAUAAAAUAUAAAAACUUUUAGAUACUUAAACAAAAAAGGUAAUGGUAAUGAAAAAAGUAAAAAAAAAAAAAAAAGUGAAGUUUCAAAAAUUUUAUCCCAUCUCAAAUUCAAAAAUUUUUAAAAGUAAUUUUUAAGGAUAUAAAACAAACCUAUAUUUUUUAUAUAAGAAUUUUCCUUUUUUUUAAGUUAUAAAAAUUAUUCUCAAUUUCUCCUUUUAAAAAUAAUGAACAAGAAAUGUAUUUAAAAGAAACCUUAUAUUGAAAAAAUUUUAAAUGCCUAAUAAUUAAAAAAAAAAUUCUAAAUUUAAAAAUAAUAAUUUAAGUUUUAAAAUUAUAAAUCGUAUAUGGAACUUCUUCCCAUUAAAUAAUUGCUUACUUAAUCCCCACAUGUGAUUUUCUAAAAACCCAAUUAAGGGUAUUUUGGGCAUUUUUGGCUCACAAAAUGUUGGUACGUCCUUCAUAGUAAUUUGGAGACGUGCUCGACCCCAUCACAACAAUUAUACAAAUUCAUGGUCUUUAGGGUCAUUAUCACCUUCAUGGCUUCAAUCAGCCCUCGAUCAUAGCCGGCUGUAGGUGCAAUUUGGUCUCUUCUCACUUUAUUAAUCACACAGGACAAAGUCCAAAAUCAAAUAUAUUCUAAAAAAUAGGUGGAUUCUUGGCAUGUGUAUCAGGAAUUUUACUUUUCAUAUGGAAAGUGGUGAUUGCCUAAAUGGAACGCGUGAUUGACUUUAAGUCCUAAAAAUAAUAAUAAAUAAAUAAAUAAAUAAAUAAUGAAAAAUAAGGCAAUUGUGCCUAACUAUUGAAUGAAAAAAAUAAAAUAUUUUGUCACAUCUAUGGAAAGUUGACUUUGACAAUGACAUGAUAGAAUAGGUCAAGCCCACUAGAUUUCAGGAAAGUAGUAAGUAAAAAAUAAAUAUAAAAUGAUAUUCUAGUAUUUUAUUGAGCAUAAAAAAUAGAAAAUAAAUUCAAAUAUAAUUAAAAUUAAAUUUAUGAAUUUUAAGAUUAUUUAAUUUUUAUAUAAAAUAGUUAAAAAAAUUAAAUAAAAUUUUAAAAUAUAUAAAAAAUAAUUUAUUGAGUUUAAAUAAUUUUUCUCAUUAUUUUAUUUCUGGAAUUUCCUCAAAUUUUUCAAAAUCCAAAUGCUCUAUGAAAAUUGACUUUGACAAUUACAUGAUAGAAUAGGCCAAGCCCACUAGAUUUCAGGAAAGUAGCAAGUAAAAAAUAAAUAAAAAAUGAUAUUCUAGUAUUUUAUUGAGCAUAGAAAAUAUAAAAUAAAUUCAAAUAUAAUUAAAAUUAAAUUUAUAUAUUUUAAAUUUAUUUAAUUUUUAUAUAGAACAAUUAAAAAAAUUUAAUUUAAUUUAAAAAUAAUUUAUUGAAUUUAAAUAAUUUUUCCCAUUAUUUUAUUUCCAUAAUUUCCUCAAACUUUUCAAAAUCCAAAUGCUUGGUUAAGCUUUUUGAAAGCGAAUAUUAUAAUAAUAAUAAUAACAACUUAUUGAACUUUCCAUGCAUCAUCUUCCUUAAAAUAUAAAUGCUCCAACUCCCAUUUUCAAAUUUAUCAUUACAAAUUUUGCAAUUUUGGUUUAUUUAAAUUUAAAUACAGAAGAGGCCAAUAAUGGCUCCUAAUACAUGGAAUACGCAUAUCCCACCAUUUUUUACCCUUCAAAUUCUUAUAUUAACACUUUCUCCGUUCUUAAAUUCUAGCUUUUCUAUGUCUUAUAUGGGUAUAUUAGGCUAUGUCGUUUAAGAUCGACAAUUUUGUUCUAUUCAUUUUAGCUUAAAAGUGUCCAAGAAUAUGCUCUAUAUUAAACCUCUCUCAUGUUAGUAGCUUCAACAAGAUAGGAGUUCUUGAUGGAACAUCUAUGGUCCGGGGGACAUGAUAGACAACCCAUAUGACUAGUUCACAUAAUUAUGAAUCUUCUAUUCAAAUAUUUUAAUAUUUGACUCCCUUUUCCACAAUGAUAGCUAUACUUAUGAAUGAAAAAAUCAAGGCCAUCAAAGCCUCCUUGAUGAUGGUUAAAGCAAGAAAAAGAAACAAUGAAUCUUAAUGUGAUGUUUCAAGGAGCCCACUUUUCAACGAGGCGACCUGAAUUUAAGGGGCUUAGUUCACUGGAAGUUCUUACUUUUCUUGAUUCCAGAUAAUGAAAGAUUUGAUAUAUAUCUAGAAAUUCAAAAUCUUCUUGUCUUCACGCUUUCUGAUCAAAGCAAGUAUUAAUAAAGAAAACAAUCAGAACAUGACAGAUGUUGAACUUCAUCUUGUCUAGAUUCACAGAGUCGAUGAGGUUCUGAGCUUGGAAGAGUCAGGUCAAAUCCACAUGUCUGGAAAUUUGGAAGGCAGUGAUUCUACAAUUCAAAGUUGUAUAUCCACAUGUCUGGAUCUGAUCAGCAGGAUACCAAUGAAUGAGCACCAAGUUUAAGUAACUACUUUUCUUCAUGGGUCAAGCAUGGAACUUAGAAAUACCUCUGAACUUUCUGAAGAAGGCCAAAACUUCCCUUUUUGCUAGCUCAAGUCUAAAUUUAAGAGUGUUGCAAACCCUGCUCCUGAUACACGCUUGUUGGUUUUGAAAACAUACUAUUUUCAUGUUGUUACCGUGUCUUAAUGUCUUCAGCCACUUAAAGCAGAGACUGAAAGUGGAGCACCAUACUAGUAAGCAGGCAAUCAAGAUGAAAGAAUUGCUUAAGGUUACAUUAUUGUCAUGAAUUUUAACUUACAUAAAAUUGGGAGAAAACAAAAUACAAGAAUUUAACUAGUAUUAUCUGCUCAUUGCAGAGCUAUGGAUACUCUCUAACAGCCUAUACAUAGAACAAAACCAUUUUGUUCUAUCUUACAACCAAAGGUUGAACUGAGAAUGUUACAUAUACAUUAACCAACCAUCUUUGAAGAACUCGUGCUUUUACCGCCUUUGGAAGUUAAAUGCCUUGAUGGCAAAGGCAAAGAUAAAUAAGAAAAGUACUGUAAACCCAACAAUCACAGCUGCAACCACUCCUAGAAAAUCAUGUUCGAAUCCAAAAUAGUCAUUCAAGUAUUGUUCCACUGUGUCACCUGUGUCCUCAAAUCUGUCCUGUAUAUCUCCAAACUGUGAUGUAACCAAUCCAUACAAAGUCCAUGCAACUGGACAUGCCCAAUAGUACCAUCUCCACCACACAGGAAUCCUCUGUAUUCAUCAUGGAAGAAAUGCAACAAAAUGAGUCAUUUCCAUAUCCAUGUGCUAAAGAUAGUUGCAAUUUAAAGAAUAAUGAGUUGAGAGAACUUACGGUUCGAGGAACUAUAAAACCUGAAAAUAAGUUCCAUAAUCCAUAAAAUGCUGCAGCAACGAUGGCAGCAAUAUGUUGAUUUGGUGUGGCAGCCACAGCCAUCAUGCCAUAAAAGGUGAAGUACAGUAAGGUGAAGAACAUGAAGAACAGAUACCAGAAGAACUUAGCAGCUGUCCAUUCAAAUCCAAUCAUUGCAUAAACUAUAACACCAUACACCACAGCUUGUGCAAAGACAUAUGGUAUCUCAACUAGAGCCUGC
rnacentral:lncRNA from 1 species